GACGAACGCUGGCGGCGUGCUUAACACAUGCAAGUCGAACGGAAAGGCCCUGCUUUUGUGGGGUGCUCGAGUGGCGAACGGGUGAGUAACACGUGAGUAACCUGCCCUUGACUUUGGGAUAACUUCAGGAAACUGGGGCUAAUACCGGAUAGGAGCUCCUGCUGCAUGGUGGGGGUUGGAAAGUUUCGGCGGUUGGGGAUGGACUCCCGGCUUAUCAGCUUGUUGGUGGGGUAGUGGCUUACCAAGGCUUUGACGGGUAGCCGGCCUGAGAGGGUGACCGGCCACAUUGGGACUGAGAUACGGCCCAGACUCCUACGGGAGGCAGCAGUGGGGAAUAUUGCACAAUGGGCGAAAGCCUGAUGCAGCAACGCCGCGUGCGGGAUGACGGCCUUCGGGUUGUAAACCGCUUUCGCCUGUGACGAAGCGUGAGUGACGGUAAUGGGUAAAGAAGCACCGGCUAACUACGUG
rnacentral:rRNA from 1 species